rnacentral:rRNA from 1 species
GACGAACGCUGGCGGCGUGCUUAACACAUGCAAGUCGAACGGAAAGGCCCCUUUGGGGGUACUCGAGUGGCGAACGGGAGAAUAACACGUGAGUAACCUGCCCUGGACUUCGGGAUAACUUCAGAAAACUGGGGCUAAUACCGGAUAGGAAUCCUUGCAGGAAGGUGUGGGUUGGAAAGCUGCGGCGGUUUUGGAUGGACUCGGGGCUUAUCAGCUUGUUGGUGGGGCAGUGGCUUACCAAGGCUUUGACGGGUAGACGGACUGGGAGGGCGACCGGCCACAGUGGGACUGAGACACGGCCCAGACUCCGACGGGAGGCAGCAGUGGGGAAUAUUGAUAAAUGAGCGGAAGCCUGAUGCAGCAACGCCGCGGGCGGGAGGACGGCCUUCGGGUUGUAAUCCGCUUUCAGCAGUGGCGGAGCUUGUGGUGACGGUACCUGCAGAAGAAGCACCGGCUAACUACGUG